AGAGUUUGAUCCUGGCUCAGGAUGAACGCUAGCGGCAGGCCUAACACAUGCAAGUCGAGGGGUAGCAGGAUUAAGCUUGCUUAAUUGCUGACGACCGGCGCACGGGUGCGUAACGCGUAUGCAACCUACCUUAUACUGGGGUAUAGCCCGGAGAAAUUCGGAUUAAUCCCCCAUAGUACUAUUUUACUGCAUGGUAGAAUAGUUAAAGCGUCAGCGGUAUAAGAUGGGCAUGCGUCCUAUUAGCUAGAUGGUGGGGUAACGGCUCACCAAGGCUACGAUAGGUAGGGGGCCUGAGAGGGUGGUCCCCCACACUGGUACUGAGACACGGACCAGACUCCUACGGGAGGCAGCAGUGAGGAAUAUUGGUCAAUGGGCGCAAGCCUGAACCAGCCAUGCCGCGUGCAGGAAGAAUGCCCUAUGGGUUGUAAACUGCUUAUAUUUGGGAAUAAACCUCUUUACGUGUAGAGAGCUGAAGGUACCAAAUGAAUAAGCACCGGCUAACUCCGUGCCAGCAGCCGCGGUAAUACGGAGGGUGCAAGCGUUAUCCGGAAUCAUUGGGUUUAAAGGGUCCGCAGGCGGAUUUAUAAGUCAGUGGUGAAAUCCUAUCGCUUAACGAUAGAACUGCCAUUGAUACUGUAAGUCUUGAAUUCGGUCGGAGUGGGCGGAAUGUGUAGUGUAGCGGUGAAAUGCAUAGAUAUUACACAGAACACCGAUAGCGAAGGCAGCUCACUAGGCCUGAAUUGACGCUCAGGGACGAAAGCGUGGGGAUCAAACAGGAUUAGAUACCCUGGUAGUCCACGCUGUAAACGAUGAUUACUCGUUUUCGGCGAUAUACAGUCGGAGACUAAGCGAAAGUGAUAAGUAAUCCACCUGGGGAGUACGAUCGCAAGGUUGAAACUCAAAGGAAUUGACGGGGGCCCGCACAAGCGGUGGAGGAUGUGGUUUAAUUCGAUGCAACGCGAAGAACCUUACCAAGGCUUGACAUGUCCAGAAUCCUCCUGAAAGGGAGGAGUGCCUUCGGGAGCUGGAACACAGGUGGUGCAUGGCUGUCGUCAGCUCGUGUCGUGAGAUGUUGGGUUAAGUCCCGCAACGAGCGCAACCCACGUCUUUAGUUGCCAUCAUUAAGUUGGGCACUCUAGAGAGACUGCCGUGGACAACACGGAGGAAGGUGUGGACGACGUCAAGUCAUCAUGCCCCUUACGUCUUGGGCUACACACGUCCUACAAUGCUACGGACAGAGGGCAGCAAGCUAGCGAUAGCAAGCAAAUCCCAUAAACUGUAGCUCAGUUCAGAUUGCAGGCUGCAACUCGCCUGCAUGAAGGCGGAAUCGCUAGUAAUCGCAGGUCAGCAUACUGCGGUGAAUACGUUCCCGGGCCUUGUACACACCGCCCGUCACACCAUGGGAGUUGGCCACGCCCGAAGUCGUUACUCUAACCGUUCGCGGGAGAGGGCGCCGAAGGCAGGGCUGAUGACUGGGGUGAAGUCGUAACAAGGUAACC
rnacentral:rRNA from 1 species